GCAGCCAUGGCCUAUUGGUUAGCACUUCGGACUUGUAACCGGAGGGUUGCAGGUUCAAACCCUGACCAGUAGGCA
rnacentral:tRNA from 1 species